rnacentral:rRNA from 1 species
UACGUAGGUGGCAAGCGUUGUCCGGAUUUACUGGGCGUAAAGAGCGCGCAGGCGGUCGUUUAAGUCGAAUGUGAAAGCCCCCCGGCUCAACUGGGGAGGGUCAUUCGAUACUGAUCGACUUGAAGGCAGGAGAGAGAAGUAGAAUUCCCGGUGUAGUGGUGAAAUGCGUAGAUAUCGGGAGGAACACCGGUGGCGAAGGCGGCCGAACUGGACGGUGACUGACACUGAGACGCGAAAGCGUGGGGAGCAAACAGG